UAGGGAAUCUUCGGCAAUGGGGGCAACCCUGACCGAGCAACGCCGCGUGAGUGAAGAAGGUUUUCGGAUCGUAAAGCUCUGUUGUAAGUCAAGAACGAGUGUGAGAGUGGAAAGUUCACACUGUGACGGUAGCUUACCAGAAAGGGACGGCUAACUACGUGCCAGCAGCCGCGGUAAUACGUAGGUCCCGAGCGUUGUCCGGAUUUAUUGGGCGUAAAGCGAGCGCAGGCGGUUUGAUAAGUCUGAUGUGAAAGCCUUUGGCUUAACCAAAGAAGUGCAUCGGAAACUGUCAGACUUGAGUGCAGAAGAGGACAGUGGAACUCCAUGUGUAGCGGUGGAAUGCGUAGAUAUAUGGAGGAACACCGGUGGCGAAAGCGGCUCUCUGGCUUGUAACUGACGCUGAGGCUCGAAAGCGUGGGGAGCAAACAGGAUUAGAUACCCUGGUAGUCCACGCCGUAAACGAUGAGUGCUAGGUGUUAGACCCUUUCCGGGGUUUAGUGCCGCAGCUAACGCAUUAAGCACUCCGCCUGGGGAGUACGACCGCAAGGUUG
rnacentral:rRNA from 1 species